rnacentral:rRNA from 1 species
AACCAAGCGAAAGUUUGGCUAAUACCGCAUACGACCUACGGGUGAAAGGGGGGGAUCGCAAGACCUCUCGCUAUUGGAGCGGCCGAUGUCCGAUUAGCUAGUUGGUGGGGUAAAGGCCUACCAAGGCAACGAUCGGUAGCUGGUCUGAGAGGACGAUCAGCCACACUGGGACUGAGACACGGCUCAGACUCCUACGGGAGGCAGCAGUGGGGAAUUUUGGACAAUGGGGGAAACCCUGAUCC